CGGGCUUAAAUUGCAUUUGAAUAAUCUGGAAACAGGUUAGCCGCAAGGCAAAUGUGA
rnacentral:rRNA from 1 species